GGACUACCCGGGUAUCUAAUCCUGUUUGCUCCCCACGCUUUCGCACCUCAGUGUCAGUUAAAGCCCAGUAAGUCGCCUUCGCCACUGGUGUUCCUUCCGGUAUCUACGCAUUUCACCGCUACUCCGGAAAUUCCACUUACCUCUACUUCACUCAAGUCAUAUAGUUUUGAAUGCAAUUCCUAGGUUAAGCCCAGGGAUUUCACACCCAACUUGUAUAACCACCUACGCGCGCUUUACGCCCAGUAAUUCCGAUUAACGCUCGCACCCUCUGUAUUACCGCGGCUGCUGGCAC
rnacentral:rRNA from 2 species